UACGGGAGGCAGCAGUGGGGAAUAUUGCACAAUGGGCGAAAGCCUGAUGCAGCUAUGCCGCGUGUAUGAAGAAGGCCUUAGGGUUGUAAAGUACUUUCAUCGGGGAGGAAAAAACAAAACUAAUAAUUUUAUUUCUUGACGUUACCCGAAAAAGAAGCACCGGCUAACUCCGUGCCAGCAGCCGCGGUAAUACGGAGGGUGCUAGCGUUAAUCAGAAUUACUGGGCGUAAAGAGCACGUAGGUGGUUUUUUUAAGUCAGAUGUGAAAUCCCUGGGCUUAACCUAGGAACUGCAUUUGAAACUGAAAUACUAGAGUAUCGUAGAGGGAGGUAGAAUUCUAGGUGUAGCGGUGAAAUGCGUAGAUAUCUGGAGGAAUACCUGUGGCGAAAGCGGCCUCCUAAACGAAUACUGACACUGAGGGUGCGAAAGCGUGGGGAGCAAACAGGGAUUAGAUACC
rnacentral:rRNA from 1 species